GUUGGGUGUGGAGAUGUGUUGGGCUUGGCGUGCUGUAUCUUUUUGCAGCUGCCCUAGGUUGUCAGUUUGCUGCAGUGUGAGCCGACCCUGUCUUGGCUGUGGAUGUCCCUAUGUGGGUAGAUGUAUACCUGGGCGGUUGGCGUUGGGUGUCUCGAUUCGGUAAAAUGAGUGAUUUGGAGGAAGAGGAGGACUCUGUGUCCAUGAAGAGUGACUUUUCCAAAGAAGAACCUUUUUAUUCUUCAGUAAAAAAAAAACAGGACCUUUUAGACAGUCUGUUUCUGUUGUAAACUCAUCCAUAGAAUAAUCUGUUAUUUAAUGUUAUCUGCUAGGCACUACAACUCUGUUCUUGUAUAAUUUCAUGAGAAUUUUAUUAUUAUAGCCCUUUACUGAUA